CCAAGUGCUAAUGGGGGUGUUUUCAGAGCAACCUUGUUUCACAGGUAACGGCGUCUUCAGAGAACACCCCCUUUGUUUUCACUAUUUUGGAUUAGCCCAACACGCAGCGCUGAGUGACUCGUCCCGCAGCUGUUUCCCACUUCUAUGAGUUUGAGGACGUCCUCUGUGCAUUUCACAUCCCUCUCCUGAAGCCCCACCACCUGCACCUGCUGCUUCCCGUCCUCCAAGACCCGCAACUUGGCUUUGCGAUUAAGUUCUUGUGUCGACGUCUCUUCCUGUGACGGCACUCUCUGACUGAUCAGUGGCCGGCAGUCUGACGACG